CAGGAGCCCUAAGCUUGCCCAACUGGGCAGAGGGAUCCUUCUCCCGUCGUGACUGGGUGGAGUUCAUUCUUUAUAGGUUUCAUGGGUUCAUCAGCCUGAAGAGCUGUAAAUCUGUGUUUUCUACCUACCUGGAAAGUAUAACUGACCAUUUUGCUACAUGAGUACCAGCUGCUCCAGCAAUUCUACUCUGCAAAAAUGAACUGAGGUUUACUGGUCUGACUACAAGCAUCUGGAAAUAACAAAUGUGAGGGGAUCACCCAGAAGAAGCCAGGAGAAGGAGGUCAGAGAUUGUCUGCAUCCUUUCCCCAGAAGCCAGGAAGAUUCAAGCCUCAACGUCCAACAAGACAGAAUCCCAUGAAAGUAUUUGGGCACUGUCUGGACUGUGGCUAGCCCCUGCAAGGGUAAUAAUAAUAAUCUGUGAAUAAAUGCUCAAUGUCUCUUUGUAAUUCUCUAUUUCCCUCUGCCAUAGAGCAGAAAGAACUUGAGCCCAGCUUCUGGGCAAACAGCAUAUUGGCCACAAGCAGCACUGACCACAGGAAUAGUCUCUUCCAAUUCGAUUAAUAUUUAUGUAUUUUGCUGGUUAUAUUAGAUGUAGAUAUUAUCCAUAGAAUGUUUCCAUGACCAUGUAAGAACCAGAAUAUUACUAAAAUCAGUGGUCAGGGGUGGUGAGAGUUCUGGAUGGCAAAAUUAAUAAACAAUAUUAAUUUUGGAAAAUA